rnacentral:rRNA from 1 species
ACGCACGCUGGCGGCGUGCUUCACCCAUGCAAUUCGAACGGAAAGGCCUGCUUUCCCUUGUGGAUUGCGGGUACUCGAGUGGCGAACGGGUGAGUAACACGUGAGUGAUCUGCCCCCAACUUGGGUAUAAGCCUGGGAAACUGGGUCUAAUUCCCGAUAGGACUGCAGGGUGGUGCCUGUGGUGGAAAACGAUUUUCUAGUGGUUGGGGAUGAGCUCGCGGCCUAUCAGCUUGUUGGUGGGGUAAUGGCCUACCAAGGCGGCGACGGGUAGCCGGCCUGAGAGGGUGGACGGCCACAUUGGGACUGAGAUACGGCCCAGACUCCUACGGGAGGCAGCAGUGGGGAAUAUUGCACAAUGGGCGGAAGCCUGAUGCAGCGACGCCGCGUGGGGGAUGACGGCCUUCGGGUUGUAAACUCCUUUCGACCGCGAGGAAGCCACCUGGUUGGAAGGGUGGUGACGGUAGUGGUAGAAGAAGCACCGGCUAACUACGUG